rnacentral:tRNA from 1 species
UGGCUCAGACAGUAAAGCAUCUGUCUACAAUGCAGGAGACCCAGGUUCAAUCCCUGG